rnacentral:rRNA from 1 species
UAAUUAAAUGCAAGUCGAACGAACUCUGGUAUUGAUUGGUGCUUGCAUCAUGAUUUACAUUUGAGUGAGUGGCGAACUGGUGAGUAACACGUGGGAAACCUGCCCAGAAGCGGGGGAUAACACCUGGAAACAGAUGCUAAUACCGCAUAACAACUUGGACCGCAUGGUCCGAGUUUGAAAGAUGGCUUCGGCUAUCACUUUUGGAUGGUCCCGCGGCGUAUUAGCUAGAUGGUGGGGUAACGGCUCACCAUGGCAAUGAUACGUAGCCGACCUGAGAGGGUAAUCGGCCACAUUGGGACUGAGACACGGCCCAAACUCCUACGGGAGGCAGCAGUAGGGAAUCUUCCACAAUGGACGAAAGUCUGAUGGAGCAACGCCGCGUGAGUGAAGAAGGGUUUCGGCUCGUAAAACUCUGUUGUUAAAGAAGAACAUAUCUGAGAGUAACUGUUCAGGUAUUGACGGUAUUUAACCAGAAAGCCACGGCUAACUACGUGCCAGCAGCCGCGGUAAUACGUAGGUGGCAAGCGUUGUCCGGAUUUAUUGGGCGUAAAGCGAGCGCAGGCGGUUUUUUAAGUCUGAUGUGAAAGCCUUCGGCUCAACCGAAGAAGUGCAUCGGAAACUGGGAAACUUGAGUGCAGAAGAGGACAGUGGAACUCCAUGUGUAGCGGUGAAAUGCGUAGAUAUAUGGAAGAACACCAGUGGCGAAGGCGGCUGUCUGGUCUGUAACUGACGCUGAGGCUCGAAAGUAUGGGUAGCAAACAGGAUUAGAUACCCUGGUAGUCCAUACCGUAAACGAUGAAUGCUAAGUGUUGGAGGGUUUCCGCCCUUCAGUGCUGCAGCUAACGCAUUAAGCAUUCCGCCUGGGGAGUACGGCCGCAAGGCUGAAACUCAAAGGAAUUGACGGGGGCCCGCACAAGCGGUGGAGCAUGUGGUUUAAUUCGAAGCUACGCGAAGAACCUUACCAGGUCUUGACAUACUAUGCAAAUCUAAGAGAUUAGACGUUCCCUUCGGGAAAUGGAUAC